rnacentral:rRNA from 1 species
GACGUAGGGCGCGAGCGUUGUCCGGAUUUAUUGGGCGUAAAGAGCUCGUAGGCGGCUUGUCGCGUCGGCUGUGAAAACCCGCGGCUCAACUGUGGGCGGGCAGCUGAUACGGGCAGGCUGGAGUUCGGUAGGGGAGACUGGAAUUCCUGGUGUAGCGGUGAAAUGCGUAGAUAUCAGGAGGAACACCUGUGGUGUAGACAGCUUACUGGACCAUUUCUGACGCUGAGACACGAAAGCGUGGGUAGCAAACAGG